rnacentral:rRNA from 1 species
UACGGAGGGUGCAAGCGUUAUCCGGAUUUACUGGGUUUAAAGGGUGUGUAGGCGGGGCUUUAAGUCAGUGGUGAAAUCUCCGAGCUUAACUUGGAAACUGCCAUUGAUACUAUUGAUCUUGAAUUCUGUUGAGGUAGGCGGAAUAAGUCAUGUAGCGGUGAAAUGCAUAGAUAUGACUUAGAACACCAAUUGCGAAGGCAGCUUGCUAAACAGAUAUUGACGCUGAGGCACGAAAGCGUGGGGAUCAAACAGG